rnacentral:rRNA from 1 species
GGUUGAUCCUGCCGGACCCGACUGCUAUCAGAGUGAGAUUAAGCCAUGCGAGUCAACGUAGCAAUACGUGGCAUACGGCUCAGUAACACGUAGUCAACAUAACCAAAGGACGUGGAUAAACUCGGGAAACUGAGGCUAAACCGCGAUAGUUCAAGAUACCUGGAAUGGUUUUUGAUCAAAAUCUAUAUGGCCUUUGGAUUGGACUGCGUCCGAUCAGGCUGUUGGUGAGGUAAUGGCCCACCAAACCUAUAACCGGUACGGGCUCUGAGAGGAGGAGCCCGGAGAUGGGUACUGAGAUAAGGACCCAGGCCCUAUGGGGCGCAGCAGGCGCGAAACCUCUGCAAUAGGCGAAAGCUUGACAGGGUUACUCUGAGUGACUUUCGUUAAGAAAGUCUUUUGACACCUCUAAAAAUGGUGUAGAAUAAGGGGUGGGCAAGUCUGGUGUCAGCCGCCGCGGUAAUACCAGCACCCCGAGUGGUCGGGACGAUUAUUGGGCCUAAAGCAUCCGUAGCCGG